AUUGAACGCUGGCGGCAUGCCUAACACAUGCAAGUCGAGCGAAGCGGCGGAUGGGUGAGUAACGCGUGGGUAACCUGCCCUUAAGUCUGGGAUACCAUUUGGAAACAGAUGCUAAUACCGGAUACUAACGGAUGGACCUGCGAUGCAUUAGCUAGUUGGUAAGGGAACGGCUUACCACGGCGCUGCUGCAUAGCCGAGUUGAGUGACUGAUCGUCCACAUUGGGACGUAGACACGGCCCAGACUCCUACGGGAGGCAGCAGUGGGGAAUAUUUCACAAUGGGCGCAAGGCUGAUGCAGCCAUGCCGCGUGUAUGAAGAAGGCCUUCGGGGUGUAAAGUACGUUCAGCGAGGAGGCGGUACUCGCAGAAGAAGCACCGGCUAACUACGUGCCAGCAGCCGCGGUAAUAC
rnacentral:rRNA from 1 species